CCCUCUGCUGGCCCAGUGGACAAGGCUCUCCCCACUGCUGGCCCAGUGGACAAGGCUCUCCCCUCUGCUGGCCCGUGGACCAGAGGUCACAGGUUCUAUUCUUACUGAUGGCCUUUGUUUAUUUCAGCGUAAAGCGAUACCUCGAGUCAAUGGUGCCACCUGCCAAUGAUUUUAAAGUUUGAUAAUCCAGAUCUGUUUACACUCUUAACAUAAAGAUACGUCUCCCUGACUACCUCGGCAGCUGGUCAGAGAGAUCGGAUCACAAUCACUUGUUUUAAAAUCGUACACACCUGGGAGAAAAAAAAGAAAGAAUGUGGACAAGAUCAGGACACAUGUUAGCACCAGGUAUAAAACGGGUCCUGAAGGAGAUUCAGUGUUCAUCAGGACACAUGUUAGCACCAGGUAUAAGACGGGUCCUGAAGGAGAUUCAGUGUUCAUCAGGACACAUGUUAGCACCAGGUAAUAAACGGGUCCUGAAGGAGAUUCAGUGUUCAUCGGGACACAUGUUAGCACCAGGUAUAAAACGGGUCCUGAAGGAGAUUCAAUGUUCAUCAGGACACAUGUUAGCACCAGGUAUAAACAGGUCCUGAAGGAGAUUCAGUGUUCAUCAGGACACAUGUUAGCACCAGGUAUAAAACAGGUCCUGAAGGAGAUUCAGUGUUCAUCAGGACACAUGUUAGCACCAGGUAUAAAACAGGUCCUGAAGGAGAUUCAGUGUUCAUCGGGACACAUGUUAGCACCAGGUAUAAGACGGGUCCUGAAGGAGAUUCAGUGUUCAUCAGGACACAUGUUAGCACCAGGUAUAAAACGGGUCCUGAAGGAGAUUCAGUGUUCAUCAGGACACAUGUUAGCACCAGGUAUAAAACGGGUCCUGAAGGAGAUUCAGUGUUCUGGAAGCCAAUAUCCUCAUGUACAUCUGUCUCCACAUCAAUGACAUUAUUUAACCUUGUAUGUGUACUUCGUAGUGUAAACGGUUUGUACCAGUCUGUGUUUCAUACAUGCAGCAUGUCCCCGAUCUCAUGUCUGAUAAACUUUUCAAUAUUUAUACUACUCGGCACCACAGGAUUAUUGAAUAUUAAUAAACUGUUGACAG